CUAAAAAAAAAUUUUUUUGGCCAAUUGCUAAAAAAAUGACGUUUUACUGUAAUAAAAUUUUCUCUAAGGAAAAGUAAAUUUAACGUAUCAUACAAAGAAAGGUCGUAGUUGUAAGUAUGGUAUCUCGAAAAAAAUGUUAACUAUGCACACAAAGAGAAUUUUCUUAGAAUUUAUCUCAAAUUUAUAGUCAUAAGACAAUAUAAUGUUCUGAGAACUUUUUUGUGAUUUUCUCUUUAUUAUUAGAUAUUGAUAAAUCAGAAAAAACUCUUCGAAAUAUUAUGUUGUUUCUCAAUUACCGUAAUUUUAAAAAUAAAUUUUAGGAGAAAAUUUUCCUUGUGUACCGAUUUUACGGUAUUGUCAGAGUUGGAUAUUUACAUAAAAUAUGAAUAAUCUACAUUAUGGAUAAAAAAUACAUUGCAUAAACUUUAUGAAUUAUAUUUUACAUGUCAUCCUACAUAAACAUAACUCAAGAUUACCGUAAACAAGAUUAUAUUCCACACAUCUUUCAGAAAGCUUUUUGAAAAAUAUCUAAAAGAUAUCUUCUGCUAGAUAUCUUUUAGAAAACUUUUUGAAAGAUGUUGUAUGGGAUCUACAUAGAUUAUUUGCAUAUUGUUUACGUUAUUUAUACGAAUCUGUCAUAUUAACAAGGAAUGUAAAUUAUUACAGAUUAGAUAAUUUAAAACUUAAAUAGAAACUCAGAAGAAAAUAAUUAAGUUAUGAAAUUGUUAAUAUAUUUAAUUUAAUAUAGUAUUGAUAAAUAAAAGUAUAUUAAAAAUAAUAUAUGUAGAAUAUAAUUUUUACCAUUUCUGAUAAAAUGUCAAUCUUUUCUAUAAAUCAUUAUAUUGAUUAUAUUUUAUACAGAUAACACAUAAAAUAUAGUUUACAUAGUUUACAUUGUGUACACAUAAUGUAGAUUACAUAUAUGUUUUUUACACAUAAAAAAUAUGAACACCCAAUCCUGCAAUAUCUAUGGAUUAUUGAAGAUUCAGAUUUCAUCAGAUAUAGUGAUAAUUAUAUUUUAUUUCUUUAUUUUUCAUAUUUUUAUUUUAUCAAUACUAAAGUCAUAUAUGUUAACAAUCUUAUAAUUUAAUUUUUUUAACUUUUUAUAUUGUAUUAUAUAAUUUAUAAUAAUUAGAUUUUAUUAUCUACAUAAAAAAGGUUUGUGUGAGCAUAAUAUAAACAAUAUGUAAAUAACUUAUGUAAACGUACGUCGUGAUAUGCACGGCCCUAGUCUCGAUAAUACAGUCAUCGAGAGCUGUCCAUCGAUAGACAGAGCGCGAAUAUCAAAUUGUGGUCGGUAUCGCAGGCUUCUGCCACGAACAAGAUUGAAACAGCGUACGAAACGACAGUGAGCUGAUCUAGAAAUCCGGUUAAAACUGGUCACAGUUCUUGGCAUUACGUCGCACCGACAACACGAGAAAAUCAAACCGGUCGGGCCACGAGUAUUGGUGUGUUACUUUCAAACGCACGUGCACAAGUGUAUACGCGAAGCGUACGUAAUGUGAACGAAAAAGGAGCGCUGCCGGUCGUAAAAUUUCUCUCAUGUUUCCACAUUUUCGUCAAAAAAAAGUUACAUGAUUAUUAAAUAAAGUGACCAUUUAAUCAUAAAUAAAGAUAUGCACCAGUAUGUAAAACCAGGGUAAGUAAUUUAAUAAAACUAUAUUAUAUUUUUUAAUAUAAUUGUUUUGUUUUUAUUACUAUUUCGUGCUUGUAAACCAUAUAUGUCUUCAGCCGAGAAAAAAUGAACUUAUGCAAUUAUGUAUGAUUAUAUAAUUGGCCAUAUAUAUUAUAAUAUAAUUGAAUCCAAAAAAUGACGUGAUAUGAUCUUAUAUAGCUAUAUACAAUUGUAUAUAUUCAAAUAUAAUAUGAUUAUGUAUAACAUAAUUAUAUAUAAUUAUAUAUAAAUAAAUGUAAUAUGAUCAUAUGUUAUAUUAUACGAUCGUAUAUAAUAAUAUUUGAAUGAGGAAAUGAUAUGAUUUUAUCUGUAUGUAAUUAUAUUCAGUUACAUAUGAUUAUAUAUGAAAACAUCUGAACAAAUAUGAUUACAAAUAAAUAAGAUCAUAUCGGGCCAAAUUCGAUAUUAUUUUAUAUAAUCAUAUAUAAUUAUACAUGUUAUUAGAUUUGUUUAUAUCUAAUUAUAAAUAUUUAUAUAUGAUCAUAUUAUGUCCAUUUUUUCUUGGGCAUUCUUUAAAAAAAUUAUCUUUUACAAAAGUAAAGAUGGCGACUUCUUUCUGAACUCACUUCAAAUAUAAAUGAUUGGAUUUUUCACAAAAAAUUAAAUAUCCUUAUAAGUUUUAUGUCUUGGUGUGCAUAUCUUGUGAAAUAUUCGUAAAAUAGAAUAAAAAUGAAAAAAUGCAUAUAUUUUCCACCGAAAUUAAAAUAGCGAAUUUUUUCUGAGCUUAUUUUAAAAGUCAACAUAAGAACUGCAUGAAGAACACAACAUAUUUUAUAAAUGGUGGAUUUAAUGUGGUGGAUAAUGCUAAAUUUUUUUAAUUUGAGAGAAACUCAAUUUGAGCUACUAUUUUAACAAUUUAAGUCAAUUUUUAAAAUUUUGAAAUUUUAGCUACAGAUUUAUAAUUAGCAAAUCUAAAAGCUUUUAGUAAAGAAUUAAAUAUCAUUAGAAAAAAAUGCACAAAAGGGAUAAAUAGAACUUAAAAGGAUAGGAAAGGGUUAAGAUUUAUUAUAUAUAUUAUUUGCGAUUAGAAUACUUGAUGCAUUCGGAAAAUUGUAGCUAGAAGAACUUCGUAAAUUAUAACAAGUAUAUGCACGAACAUCCUCAACAUAUCUCAGCUAUAUCGAUGGAUCGAAUACUGAAGAAAAAUUUAGUGGUAUUUUUGAUUCUCGAUAUCGACAUUAUUUCACACUGAUUAAAUCCGUUGCACACUGAACUAGUUUAUUCCGGCUCGCGCUGACCUUACUGACUCACGACAUUAUCGUAUCUAUAUAGUGGUUCUCAAAUUAUAUAUUUGUCCCUUAUCGCACUUACAUUCGGUGCAUUGCAAGAUAAGAUGACGUUAAUCCUAAUCGUUACACCAUGGCGUGAUCAUUAUUGUGCAUUAAUGUAAUAAAUUAUAGAAAAUCAAGUUACCUAUAUUGACAGGUUAUUAUUAUGAAAAAAUAAACGAAAGCAUUGAAUUUAACAUGUUUUAUACUGAAUACUAUGUUAAUACCAUAAGCUAUGAUAAUAUUGUGAAAUAAAAUAUUCUUUGAAAAAAAUUAGACAUUAUAUAAAUUUUCAAAAAGAGAUACAGAUUUAGAUAGGCAAUUGUGACAAUGUUCAAGAUUAUUCUUAAAACUUGUGUAAUAUGAACACAUGCUAUAAGAUUUUGUUAUCAUUAAUUUCUAGAAAAUAUAUAUCAGUCAUAAAUAUUUGUAUACAGAGAAAAAGAUUUCUUCAGAUAUAAUAACAAUUUUAUUUGACUAUUCCAAAGUAUAUACUUCUUUGUGAAAAAAAAAA